AUUGAACGCUGGCGGCAUGCUUUACACAUGCAAGUCGAACGGCAGCGCGGGGCAACCUGGCGGCGAGUGGCGAACGGGUGAGUAAUACAUCGGAACGUACCCAGAAGUGGGGGAUAACGUAGCGAAAGUUACGCUAAUACCGCAUACGAUCUACGGGUGAAAGUGGGGGACCUUCGGGCCUCAUGCUUUUGGAGCGGCCGAUGUCUGAUUAGCUAGUUGGUAGGGUAAAGGCCUACCAAGGCGACGAUCAGUAGCUGGUCUGAGAGGACGACCAGCCACACUGGGACUGAGACACGGCCCAG
rnacentral:rRNA from 1 species